GACUCCCUCUUCGUUCCCUCUCUCUAUCAAAACCUUCGUUCCCUCUCUUAGCGAUCAAGACGUUGGCAUCCUCUCCUUGGUGGUCGAGCCCAUCAUUCUUUCCUCUCGGCCUACUCGCUAGCGGUAUCCUUCCUCUCCUUGGCGGUAUCCUUCCUCUCGGCGCUCCGCUGCAUGUCAUCCCCUCCGCCUAGGGUCCAAUCCGCCUAGGGUCCAAUCCCUCGAUCGUUCUUAGCAACUAGCCAGCCUCAAUCUACAAAAGCUCUAGCUCAUGUCGAGUUCCUUGUGAUCAGAGACGCAAAAGAGGAGUGUGAAAGUUCAUUUAUGGAAGGCAAAACCCUUUUUAUUGACUCUAACAUCCUUAUUUAUUAUAAUCUUCAUUGCAGCCCUUGAUGAUGCUAAAGAUAGGAGAAAGCAUUGAUCACUAUCCUCUUCUCCUAGAGUUGUCAUUCUUGUACGAAUGGAAAUUAUAUCAUUUAAGCUCUAAGUUCUACUGGCUGAGUUUUUACUGUGUGUGAUAAUCUUCUUGUUUUGUUCUUAAUUGCAAGAUCUUUUUUUGUAAAUUUGCUAAAUUGAUUGAGGAGUUGAUUAAGUUCCUUAAUUGUAUAUAUCUAUGCUUACUCAGUAAAGUUGUACUUGGCAUUAUUGAAAGUGUUAUUUGUCUAA